CAAAGAAUGUGAUAAAAUUAGAAUAUGAAGUUAAAUUUAAAUAACAUAUGAUUAAUAGCUAUCAAAAUUGGAGAAUGCUUCUGGAGGUCAUAUUUUAUUGCCCUUGUUCACAAACCACUCUCACUGGUAUACCACCUUCAAAUGACCUUGGACUACCUCAGCUUACAAAAGCAAAUCCUCUAUUUAUAAACAAAAUAGGAACUAUAUUUAUUUUAAUGUUGGAAAAAGAUUUAGGGGUAUCUGAAAUGCUAUCUCUUUGUUUGUUUACAUAAUUUUGAUAUCAAAUACAUAAGAAUCGGA
rnacentral:lncRNA from 1 species